rnacentral:rRNA from 1 species
AUUGAACGCUGGCGGCAUGCUUUACACAUGCAAGUCGAACGGCAGCGCGGACUUCGGUCUGGCGGCGAGUGGCGAACGGGUGAGUAAUACAUCGGAACGUGCCCAGUAAUGGGGGAUAACUAUCCGAAAGGAUAGCUAAUACCGCAUACGCCCUGAGGGGGAAAGUGGGGGACCGCAAGGCCUCACGGUAUUGGAGCGGCCGCUGGCUGAUUAGUUAGUUGGUGAGGUAAAGGCUCACCAAGGCGACGAUCAGUAGCGGGUCUUAGAGGACGAUCCGCCACACUGGAACUGAGACACGGUCCAGACUCCUACGGGAGGCAGCAGUGGGGAAUCUUGGACAAUGGGCGCAAGCCUGAUCCAGCAAUGCCGCGUGGGUGAAGAAGGCCUUCGGGUUGUAAAGCCCUUUUGUUUGGGAGCAAAUCCUUGUCGUUAAUACCGGCUGGGGAUGAGAGUACCAAAAGAAUAAGCACCGGCUAACUACGUGCCAGCAGCCGCCGCAGUAA